GUUUAACGUCAUUCAAACGCUGAAAAUUCUACUCAGUGACAAGAAGUGUUUGAUUGGCCUCAACGAAUGCCAAGCUGUACUUAUCAAAUUAGACCAGGCAUUUUCAGGUCACAUGUUGCGUGCCUGUUCUCGUUUUCUUGAGCAGUAGGUGCAAGGCAUGAGGCGGGCGAUCCUGUAUUUGACGUGUGGGCGCGACUAAUUGUCAACGGUUCACGACAGCUAGGAGCUAUGGCCGAAUCGCGAUUGGAAUGGGACGACCAUCAAGGCAGCAAUACCGAGGUUGUUCGGUUUGAUGUGGGGGACGAAGUCUGGAUUUCGUAUGAACAUGACUCAAAUCAUCCUGUGUUUGGUGAUGACAACGCAAGAAUGACGUCUUUUACAGGAGUUCUCUUACAAGCUUCGUUCCCAUAAUCUUUCGACAUUAUAAUCUUUGCUGUAUAUCACCAUUUGUAGUUGAAAAUUAAUGAAAACAGCACUAUUGUACAUCUGAAGAAACUGGAUCAAUGUAUGAUU